rnacentral:rRNA from 1 species
UGGGGAAUAUUGCACAAUGGGCGCAAGCCUGAUGCAGCCAUGCCGCGUGUAUGAAGAAGGCCUUCGGGUUGUAAAGUACUUUCAGCGGGGAGGAAGGCGUUGUGGUUAAUAACCACAGCGAUUGACGUUACCCGCAGAAGAAGCACCGGCUAACUCCGUGCCAGCAGCCGCGGUAAUACGGAGGGUGCAAGCGUUAAUCGGAAUUACUGGGCGUAAAGCGCACGCAGGCGGUCUGUCAAGUCGGAUGUGAAAUCCCCGGGCUCAACCUGGGAACUGCAUUCGAAACUGGCAGGCUAGAGUCUUGUAGAGGGGGUAGAAUUCCAGGUGUAGCGGUGAAAUUGCGUAGAGAUCUGGAGGAAUACCGGUGGCGAAGGCGGCCCCCUGGACAAAGACUGACGCUCAGGUGCGAAAGCGUGGGAGCAAACA